rnacentral:lncRNA from 1 species
UGCUAAUAAACAGGCCACACGCCUUCCUAGCUAGUUUAUUUAUUCAGUAUGUUUUGCAUCAGAAACAGAUGGAUGCAUUACACAGUGCCUAUUCUAGGCAGCAACACACAAACGGUGUGAAGGUUGUCUCGCAGUAGGAACCUAAGCCAUAAUGGUGGUGUCUGCAAUAAAUCUCGCACUGCACAUCAAAGAGACAAUGUUUGUCUGUGUGGCAAUUCGGCAACGGCGUCUUCAGCGGUGAUAUGUCUGGUAUGGGUGAUGAUACUAUCCAAGAACGGCUCGCGCCUACAGAUGCAACGCCAUAUAUGACAAUACACAAAUCAAACAAGUUUGGUUCCAUAAGUUAUUUACAUAUAUAGUAUUAGGCCAGCCUCAAUGGACAGUAUCACUGCACGGUUUCACAUACCAACACGUCAUCGAGAUUGAAAUGAAACUAUCUAUGAAAUAAUACUAGCAAUGGAGCAUUUCACUUUGUUGUUUCCAAGGCUAAGCAAAGCAUUUAAUUACUGCAAAAUGAUUAGAUCACAUGCAAGAUGGUGAAACGAUUUGGUCCUCAGUGGGGAUUUCAUCCCGUUUCACCGCGUGGGAAACAACGCUCGUGGAGUUUCACCAUGGUGAAACUACUUCCUUCUCUCUCCUCUUCGUUUCAUGCAAAAAGUGCAGUUUUGCUAACAUGACGCACUAAUAAAUGUGCAUGACAUCCUAGUGAAACCUCCACUGAGACUGGCCUUAGAACAUCAUACAUCAGCAGGUAUGUAUAAUUGCAUAUCUCACCUUGGCAGGGCGUGAUGAUUGAGGACAAGGUAGCAAGAACGAAGAACAAAGCAGCUGUCAAGGAAACCAUCCUCCAUGCAUUGCCCUUGACAAAUGACAUGACGAGGAAAAGGGUGUACAUACUAGUACAACC